rnacentral:lncRNA from 1 species
GCUAGCUACAUCUGUAAACGCUAGCUGGUUAGCCAGGUUAGAUAUGUAGGUAAUGUAGAGAGAGCAGGUCAGUUAUAGAGGGGAAGGUAGUUAGCUAGUUAGCUACAUCUGUAAACGCUAGCUGGUUAGCCAGGUUAGAUAUGUAGGUAAUGUAGAGAGAGCAGGUCAGUUAUAGAGAGGAAGGUAGUUAGCUAGUUAGCUACAUCUGUAAACGCUAGCUGGUUAGCCAGGUUAGAUAUGUAGGUAAUGUAGAGAGAGCAGGUCAGUUAUAGAGGGGAAGGUAGUUAGCUAGCUAGCUACAUCUGUAAACGCUAGCUGGUUAGCCAGGUUAGAUAUGUAGGUAAUGUAGAGAGCAGGUCAGUUAUAGAGGGGAAGGUAGUUAGCUAGCUAGCUACAUCUGUAAACGCUAGCUGGUUAGCCAGGUAAGAUAUGUAGGUAAUGUAGAGAGAGCAGGUCAGUUAUAGAGGGGAAGGUAGUUAGCUAGCUAGCUACAUCUGUAAACGCUAGCUGGUUAGCCAGGUUAGAU